GCCAGGCAUGGUGGUGCGUGCCUGUAGUCCCAGCUACUCAGGAGGCUGAGGCAGAGGAAUCACUUGAACCCGGGAGGCGGAGGUUGUAGUGAACAGAGAUCAUGCCACUGCACUCCAGCCUGGGUGACAGAGUGAGACUCUGUCUCAA
rfam:Gorilla gorilla gorilla genomic chromosome, chr1, whole genome shotgun sequence